GCAAAAGCUGAAACAGCUUUUCAAAAAAUUUACCAAACACCAUUUUUUAGCUAAAAGUACUUUUGGAGGGCCAGAAAGUGCUUUUUGGCCCUCCAAAAGCUCCCCCAAACAGGGCCUUAGUCACCCUCACUUUGGGUAAGCUUGGACCGUGGGUAGAUCUCAAGCUUGGGCAGUACUACCAAAGGAACAAAAAAAGGAUAGAUCUCAAGGGAAGAUAAAAUGGUACUGUUUUUUACUAGGUCACUCGUGCAACCUUAGAUUUGGUCAAAGUUGUCAUCUUCUAAGGAAAGAUGGGUACCGGUUGCAAAUAGAGAAGCUUCAGAACUCGUUUGGUUUACACAAAAAAAGAAAAAAAAAUAUAAAUAUGAGGCAUGAAAAAAUAAUUUUAGCAUAUUUAGUUAAUCAU
rnacentral:lncRNA from 1 species